UACAGAGGGGGCAAGCGUUGUUCGGAAUUACUGGGCGUAAAGGGCGCGUAGGCGGCCUUCUAAGUCGAACGUGAAAUCCCCGGGCUCAACCCGGGAACUGCGUCCGAUACUGGAAGGCUUGAAUCCGGGAGAGGGAUGCGGAAUUCCAGGUGUAGCGGUGAAAUGCGUAGAUAUCUGGAGGAACACCGGUGGCGAAGGCGGCAUCCUGGACCGGUAUUGACGCUGAGGAGCGAAAGCGUGGGGAGCAAACAGG
rnacentral:rRNA from 1 species